AGGGAUCAUUAAAGAGUUGAAAAACUCCAACCCCUGUGAACCUACCUUUACUGUUGCUUCGGCGGAAUAUGGCCCCCCGGGCCGGACGCCGCCGGAGGUUACAAACCCUGAAUUUUAGUGUAUCUCUGAGCACAAAACCAAAUAAUUAAAACUUUCAACAACGGAUCUCUUGGUUCUGGCAUCGAUGAAGAACGCAGCGAAAUGCGAUAAGUAAUGUGAAUUGCAGAAUUCAGUGAAUCAUCGAAUCUUUGAACGCACAUUGCGCCCGCCGGUAUUCCGGCGGGCAUGCCUGUCCGAGCGUCAUUUCACCACUCAAGCCCAGCUUGGUGUUGGGGCACCCGGCCGCCCGGCGGUCGGGGCCCCCAAGAACAUCGGCGGUCUCGCCAGGACCCUGAACGCAGUAACUCGCGGUAAAACGCGCUUCGUUCGGAGGCUUUCCCGGCGGGCUCCAGCCGCUAAACCCCCUAAACUUCUUAGGUUGACCUCGGAUCAGGUAGGAAUACCCGCUGAACUUAA
rnacentral:rRNA from 1 species